AGCCUCAAGAGCUGAUCUGGUUCAUCCUUGGUGGGUUUAGCUCAGCUUUGGUUGAUCCCUGUUUGAGUCCAUCCCAGUUUUGUUGGGUUUAUCCCAGGUUUUGGUUAAUCCCAGGUUUUGGUUUAUCCCAGGUUUUGGUUAAUCCAAAUUUUGUUUGGUUUAUUCUUGGUUUUGGUUUAUCCCUGGUUUUGGUUAAUCCCAGGUUUUGGUUAAUCCCAGGUUUUGCUUUAUCCCUGGUUUUGGUUAAUCCCAUUUUUUUUGAUUUCUCCCUGUUUUUGGUCCAUCCCUGGCUCUCCUGGGUUUAACCCUUUAGGGUUUCUCCCUGGUUUUGGCCCAUCCCAGUUUUGUUGGAUUUUUGCCUCCUUGGCUCCGUCCCGCCGGAUUUUUCCCGGUUUCCGCGCGCCGGCCCC
rnacentral:lncRNA from 1 species